rnacentral:tRNA from 1 species
AGCAGAGGGUAUAUAUCUGUUACUGCUAAUAAUGGUUUGGGUAAAAGCUUACUCUGCCC